rnacentral:tRNA from 1 species
GGAAGGGGACAGGGCCCGGUGGCCCUGCAGGUCUUCAAAACCUGUCUGUCGCCGAAAGGGGAUCGGGGGGUUCGACUCCCUCCCCCUUCC